rnacentral:rRNA from 1 species
AUUGAACGCUGGCGGCAGGCUUAACACAUGCAAGUCGAACGAUGAUUAUCUAGCUUGCUAGAUAUGAUUAGUGGCGGACGGGUGAGUAACAUUUAGGAAUCUACCUAGUAGUGGGGGAUAGCUCGGGGAAACUCGAAUUAAUACCGCAUACGACCUACGGGUGAAAGGGGGCGCAAGCUCUUGCUAUUAGAUGAGCCUAAAUCAGAUUAGCUAGUUGGUGGGGUAAAGGCCCACCAAGGCGACGAUCUGUAACUGGUCUGAGAGGAUGAUCAGUCACACCGGAACUGAGACACGGUCCGGACUCCUACGGGAGGCAGCAGUGGGGAAAAUUGGACAAUGGGGGCAACCCUGAUCCAGCCAUGCCGCGUGUGUGAAGAAGGCCUUUUGGUUGUAAAGCACUUUAAGCAGGGAGGAGAGGCUAAUGGUUAAUACCCAUUAGAUUAGACGUUACCUGCAGAAUAAGCACCGGCUAACUCUGUGCCAGCCGCCGCCGUAAGAC